rnacentral:rRNA from 1 species
UACAGAGGGUGCGAGCGUUAAUCGGAAUUACUGGGCGUAAAGGGCGCGUAGGCGGUGAGAUGAGUGUGGUGUGAAAGCCCCGGGCUUAACCUGGGAACUGCGCUUCUAACUGGCAGGCUUGAGUGUGGCAGAGGGGGGUGGAAUUCCACGUGUAGCAGUGAAAUACGUAGAGAUGUGGAGGAACACCGAUGGCGAAGGCAGCCCCCUGGGCUAACACUGACGCUCAUGCACGAAAGCGUGGGGAGCAAACAGG